rnacentral:rRNA from 1 species
AGAACGAACGCUGGCGGCAGGCCUAACACAUGCAAGUCGAACGCCUGUAGCAAUACAGGAGUGGCAGACGGGUGAGUAACACGUGGGAACGUGCCCAAAGGUACGGAACAACUCCGGGAAACUGGAGCUAAUACCGUAUGUGCCCGAAAGGGGAAAGAUUUAUCGCCUUUGGAUCGGCCCGCGUCUGAUUAGCUAGUUGGUGAGGUAAUGGCUCACCAAGGCGACGAUCAGUAGCUGGUCUGAGAGGAUGAUCAGCCACACUGGGACUGAGACACGGCCCAGACUCCUACGGGAGCAGCAGUGGGGAAUAGUUGGACAA